CUGGUCUGAGGGUUGAGGUUUGGAAAAAUUGUUUAUGUUCAGUGGAACACCAUGGGCCAGCUGUGUCUGCCAGCUGCACCCUCCUGGGUGUCGGGCUGUUCUGUGCUUCUCAGAGGAGGACGGCAGCAAACAAGCUCACCCCUGGGGCACCUCCUGAUACCCCGGAGACAGGGCUUCUCAGACUGCAGGACAGACUCCUGGGAGUCACCUGGUGAUCUUUUUCAAAUGCAGAUUGAUGCCACUACUUGCUUGAGAGAGAGAGAGACAGACAGACAGCGAGAGGGAGAGAGAGAAGACAAUAAAGUUAAAUAUAUAUAUGGUCAUACCUGGAGCCCUAAACAAGACUUUGGAAAAGAUACUCUGCAGUAAACUUGAAUUACAUUUGCAAACAGAAAAAAAUAUUAUUUUGGAGAAAAGGAUCUAAGUGCUUCAUGUAAUGGCUAUAUUCAGAUAUAUUUGUCUUUUCUGAGAAGGUAACUUAUGACCCAGAUGAUAGCUUCUGCUCACCGAUGUAUUAUAACUUUAGGUUGCUCUUAGAACACCACUUGAUUGUAUGGCUAUAAUAAGCUGGUGUUUUAGAAGUAGAGUUUGAUGCCUUGGGCGGUCAUUCCCCUUCUUGGGAGAAUCUUCAUGUGAAAAAUGUUGGUUAUAUAUGUAUAAUGUUGUGUGGUGGAAAAAUAUUACAUAUGAAUUUUUCUUCUCAGUGGUGCCAGAAAUUAGCAAAUGCUAACCUCAUCCUAUACUCUUUCAUAAAAUAUACCUUGUCAAUCUCAAUUAAAAUCAUAUUCCUAAUUUAUAGAAUAUCAAAAUUUGUUGCUAAAACUUGCUGUUGAAUUCAAAACGUGAAUGACAUUUCUGACAUAACAUUGUUUGGUAGUUUAAGGUUGUGAAAUAUCAUAUGGCCCCUGAUGAUGAAACUAGCUCAGUUGUCUCAUAGAACUGAUGUUUAUGGUUCCUUUGAAAUAAACAUAGAAAUUGACACUCCUAGCCUUAAAACUUGAGAAACUUACAGUUGUCUUAUCUGAAUUCCUUUCUCAGAAAGCCAGCAGUCCACCCAGAUAAUAUCAAGAAGUUGAAACCCACCAAAUCACUGCAUCUGGACAAUGAGAUGACAGACUCCUCACCCUCAGGGUCAUAAUCACUUAACUGACCACUUGCUUCCUGUUGACCAACUCCUCUUCCUUACCGCUCCCUAAUUCCUGUUUUCCCACACAAGGUUACAUUUCUUCCCUGCUAUAUAAACCCCUAAUUUCAGUCGGUCAGGGAGAUGGAUUUGAGACUGAUCUCCCAUCUCUUCAGCUGCAGCACCCAAUAAAGCCUUUGUCCUUAGCAACACUUGCUGUCUCAGUGAUUGGCUUUCUGUGCAGCAAGCUGCAGAAUCUAGAGUGAACCACUGGUGU
ensembl:lncRNA